GGGCGUAUACGUAAUACAAAAAAGCAGGGGCUCGGCGAAUCGGGUAAAGUGGUUGGAAAAGUGGGGGUGGAGGUGGCAAAUCCCCAUCUCCUCCUGGCAAUUGGCAGUCUCAAAAGCUGGCUACUAGCCACGGCUUUUAUGGACCUGGCCCCGAAGGUGGCCUAAUUACAGGGGCAGCCGGCGGGCGGGUGCAUCUUCAUUUGGGCCACAUUCCUGGCUAAUCCCCCAGAGCCCUCACCAAGUGUCCAUCCAUCCAUCUAUCACAUGUCAUUUAUGGCACUAUUCCGUAGGAGUGCCUCUGUGUGACUCAUCCCGCCGGCGGUUGCAACAUCACUUAGGGUCUGGUCUCUGGUCUCUUGUUCCGCACUACUUUGGUGGCCAUGCAAAAAGGUGGUAGCAAUGGUGGUUUCACCGGGGGCUUCACCGCACUUAUGUGGCCCGCUCCAUUUCGCAACUGUUCUACACUCGAAAAAAGUCUGAAAGUUCCUAGCUAGCACCAACACACACUCACAAAGUUUAGCAGGGAUGUAUAAAAGUAACUGUUGUCCUUUGCCUUUUCACGUAACUUUUGCAACUGCGCCCAAAAUGGAAAUUUGUUACCAGACAGCUGGGCACCCGAAGGAGUGAGAGAGAUGGAAGUGCAGAGAGAGUCCUGCGAGAGCAAACAAGCCGCGGAAGGAGCGAGCGAGAGAUAUAUACAUCUAAUAACUUUCGCCUAUUUAAGCUUAAACUUUUGCCUAAUUUAUGAUAUUUUUCAUAUUAUUUUCCGCUUUAUAAUUAUUCAUAUUUGUCGUAUUAAAAUUAAUCUUCUGGCAUGCGGCAUUUCUGCGCAAGUGUUUGAAGAGAGAAAAGAUGGGAGAGAGCGGCAAGAACAAGAGAAAUGGCAAACAAACAAAAGCCACAGCCACAGCUGUCUUAUCACGGGGCGGUUUUUGCCACCCCCUUUCGACUGAUAGCAAAGACAACCGUUGCGUGUGGUUUGUGUCUUCGAUAACUAUGUUAUACAAAUUUGAAUUAAAUUUUAAAUUAUUUGAAAUUAAUAAAAUGAUAUAAAAAUUUUA